rnacentral:rRNA from 1 species
AGCUUACACUCCCAACCCCUGUGAACAUACCUACUGUUGCCUCGGCGGAAUUGCCCCGGCCCGCCUCGUGGGCCCCGGAUCAGGCGCCCGCCUAGGAAACUUAACUCUUGUUUUAUUUUGGAAUCUUCUGAGUAGUUUUUACAAAUAAAUAAAAACUUUCAACAACGGAUCUCUUGGUUCUGGCAUCGAUGAAGAACGCAGCGAAAUGCGAUAAGUAAUGUGAAUUGCAGAAUUCAGUGAAUCAUCGAAUCUUUGAACGCACAUUGCGCCCGCCAGUAUUCUGGCGGGCAUGCCUGUCUGAGCGUCAUUUCAACCCUCAUGCCCCUAGGGCGUGGUGUUGGGGAUCGGCCAAAGCCCGCGAGGGACGGCCGGCCCCUAAAUCUAGUGGCGGACCCGUCGUGGCCUCCUCUGCGAAGUAGUGAUAUUCCGCAUCGGAGAGCGAUGAGCCCCUGCCGUUAAACCCCCAACUUUCCAAGGUUGACCUCAGAUCAGGUAGGAAUACCCGCUGAACUUAAGCAUAUCAAA